rnacentral:rRNA from 1 species
GUAGGGGCCAAACGUUUGUCCGGGUUUAUUGGGCGUAAAGGGCUCGUAGGCGGUUCAACAAGUCGGUCGUGAAAUGCCGGGGCUCAACCCCGGAACGCCGGUCGAAACUGUUGUGACUAGGGUCCGGUAGAGGUGAGUGGAAUUCUCGGUGUAGCGGUGGAAUGCGCAGAUAUCGAGAGGAACACCAGUUGCGAAGGCGGCUCACUGGGCCGGUACCGACGCUGAGGAGCGAAAGCAUGGGGAGCAAACAGGAUUAGAUACCCUGGUAGUCCAUGCCGUAAACUGUGAACACUAGGUGUGGCGGAUCUAUUGAUGUCUGCCGUACCGUAGCUAACGCGUUAAGUGUUCCGCCUGGGGAGUACGGCCGCAAGGCUA